rnacentral:misc_RNA from 1 species
CUACCUAAACUCGCCUGCGUUUUUACUUGUAGAAACAAUGGUGGAAAUUGAGCGUCACUCUUUCUCGAAGGAGUGUUGCUUGAAGGAUAGAAACGGUAGUCUUUCCGUUUUUUCUUCUUGAAAAAACUCGUUGGUUUCUCCUCGCAAGAGGACUGAAGCACACUGAGUGACGUGGUUAAGUUCGCCUCGUGCGACACACGACUUCGUCAACUAUCUCAGUGCGUUUCUGUACCAAUCGGGAAUGGGAGACAUCUUUGCCGUUCUUUGGAUUAAUCCAAUUAACAACAAA